UUGAUCCUGGCUCAGAAUCAACGCUGGCGGCGUGCCUAACACAUGCAAGUCGAACGCGAAAGGGGAGCAAUCCCUGAUUAGAGUGGCAAACGGGUGAGUUACACGUGGGUGACCUGCCUUCGAGUGGGGGAUAACCUUCCGAAAGGAGGUCUAAUACCGCAUGACAUACCGUGUUUGGAUACACGGAUAUCAAAGCCGGUGAUCGCAAGACCUGGCGCUUGGAGAGGGGCCCGCGUCCGAUUAGCUAGUUGGUGAGGUAACGGCUCACCAAGGCUCCGAUCGGUAUCCGGCCUGAGAGGUCGGACGGACACACUGGAACUGAGACACGGUCCAGACUCCUACGGGAGGCUGCAGUGGGGAAUUGUUCGCAAUGGGCGAAAGCCUGACGACGCAACGCCGUGUGGAGGAUGAAGAAUUUCGGUUCGUAAACUCCUUUCGACCGAGAUGAAUACCCAUGGACCUAACACGUCUGUGGGCUGACAGUAUCGAGAGAAGAAGCUCCGGCUAACUCUGUGCCAGCAGCCGCGGUAAUAAGGU
rnacentral:rRNA from 1 species